rnacentral:rRNA from 1 species
CCAAUAGCGUAUAUUAAAGUUGUUGCAGUUAAAAAGCUCGUAGUUGAACUUCGGGGUUUGCUCAUUGGUCAGGCUUAAUUGUCUGUACUGGUGGGAUAAAUCUCUACCUUCUGAGGAACUUUCAUGCCAUUUAUUUGGUGUGAUGGGAAAUCAGGACUGUUACUUUGAAAAAAUUAGAGUGUUUAAAGCAGACUAACGUCUGAAUACAUUAGCAUGGAAUAAUGAAAUAGGACGGACUGAUUCUAUUUCGUUGGUUUCUAGGAUCACCGUAAUGAUUAAUAGGGAUAGUUGGGGGCAUUAGUAUUCAAUUGUCAGAGGUGAAAUUCUUGGAUUUAUUGAAGACUAACUACUGCGAAAGCAUUUGCCAAGGAUGUUUUCAUUAAUCAAGAACGAAAGUUAGGGGAUCGAAGACGAUCAGAUACCGUCGUAGUCUUAACCAUAAACUAUGCCGACUAGGGAUCGGACGAAGUUAAUUUUAUAAUGACGCGUUCGGCACCUUACG